GGAAAGAAAAAGAAGAAGAAAAAAAACAAGAAGGCUAAGACUGGGGAAGCCACACCCCAGGCCGCGGGAGAGAAACCCAAUGGAGAGGCAGCUAAGCCCGCUACCCCAGCAGCGAAGGCGGCAGAGAAGCCCGCCACUCCAGCAGCGAAAGCGGAAGAGAAGGACACGACCCCGAAGAAAGGGGCCACCACCGUCAAGAAGCACCCUAAUGGCCUAGAAGUUGAGCAACUAGCAAUUGGUAAACCAGAUGGCAAGAAGGCUGUGCCUGGGAAGAAGGUUAGUGCCAAGAAGUAGAUGAAUAGCGGAGUAUACCUCAUAAUAAAGUGAGGAUUAUACCAACAGUUUUGUAAACGGUGCUGUAAAAAAAGCCUACUUGUUUCAUUGUCGCGCAUUCUUAAUUCAUGAGGCGUCUGUUGAUCCCGGAAAUUAUGAAAUGUAUCAGGUG
rnacentral:lncRNA from 1 species